AUUGAACGCUGGCGGCAGGCCUAACACAUGCAAGUCGAGCGGAUGAAGGGAGCUUGCUCCUGGAUUCAGCGGCGGACGGGUGAGUAAUGCCUAGGAAUCUGCCUGGUAGUGGGGGAUAACGUCCGGAAACGGGCGCUAAUACCGCAUACGUCCUGAGGGAGAAAGUGGGGGAUCUUCGGACCUCACGCUAUCAGAUGAGCCUAGGUCGGAUUAGCUAGUUGGUGGGGUAAAGGCCUACCAAGGCGACGAUCCGUAACUGGGCUGAGAGGAUGAUCAGUCACACUGGAACUGAGACACGGUCCAGACUCCUACGGGAGGCAGCAGUGGGGAAUAUUGGACAAUGGGCGAAAGCCUGAUCCAGCCGUGCCGCGUGUGUGAAGAAGGUCUUCGGAUUGUAAAGCACUUUAAGGUGGGAGGAAGGGCAGUAAGUUAAUACCUUGCUGUUUUGACGUUACCAACAGAAGAAGCACCGGCUAACUUCGUG
rnacentral:rRNA from 1 species